GGAAGGCACCGCAGGCGGUUCACUCUAAGUUCGGAUACCAAGCCCUGUCUGUAAAUAGCUUGGUGUUCUACCUUACAGUGAAUCGACUGCGGUAUCGUCGACAGCCACACGCA
rnacentral:pre_miRNA from 1 species